rnacentral:tRNA from 1 species
GACUCUAGGGCCCAAUGGAUAUGGCGGUGGUCUACGGAACUAGAGAUUCUGGGUUCGAUCCCAGCAGAGUCG